AGUCAAUACAUGCAGCAUUGGCGUUUAUUUUAGUACUUGCUACAUGACCAAGUGAAUGUGAAUGAGAAAAUAAAUGUUUCCAUGUAAAGUUUAUCAUGAGUAUGUGGGCUGGGUGUGACUGUAAGAGGAAAGGAUGUGUUGCCAAUGGGAUAGGAUGGACUAUUUCAUUUUGAUAAAUAAUAUAAAUAGAGUAGAGUUUAUUCAGCACAGACACAUCUCAAAUCUGCAUUAUGUUUUCCAGCGAUACGGGCGUUUUCAUAAAUGAUGAUAAAACUGGAAUAUGCAAAAUUCACCUGAACAAACCUCUCCUUGAUUUACGGGCAAGGAAAGAUACAGUGCAAACGCUCCUGCAUGAAAUGAUCCACUACUACCAGCGACUCAGAGGAACGCAUGACCUUGAGCAUGGCGCAACCUUUCAGUAUCACAUGAAGCGAAUCAAUAGAGAAAGUGGCGCAAAUAUUACAGUAAGUAGUUUUAUAUAUACAGUAUAUACAUACACAUAUACAAAAUUGUAUUGUACCAUUAAGUUUGAUAUAAAGUAUGUGUCAGGUUCCAUGAUAUUUCUCCUGUUAUUUUAUAGAUCCAUCACGAUUUCAUUCAGGAAUACGAGUCACUGAAGCGCCACUGGUGGAAAUGCAAUGGCCCCUGUCAACAAGUCGUGAAGCGGCUUAUGAACAGGACUCCGGGCACCAAGGCGCACAAGCGCAAAUGCGGAGGAGACUUUAUAAAGAUCCAGGAACCAGAGAACAAGAGAAUGAGAACUGACCCAUAGAAUCACUUAAUUAAAGACAUCAUGUCUGUUUUUAGUUAACAACAAGGCUGCCCCAAGCGCAAAUGGGCAGGGACACUUCUAACUACUGAGGAACCUCACAAGAGUCAUUCAGACAAAAGAACUAUGUUUGGACCUACAGAAGGACUUUCUACAGAGACUUUCCUCUUGGAAACCUAGAGGAAGACACUUUCAUGUUCCUUUAAUGUAAAUAAUGAAUCACAUUCUAUGAAUUUUAUGUACAUUACUUUUCUUUCUCAAUAAAAAUAAACCUACUAAAUAAA